CGCUGUCGCCAUUUUGUUAUAUGUUAUAACAACUAUUACUUGCUCUGUGAAAACAACUUCCAACGAGUAUCAAUAAUCAACAUAAAAAUUUUGCGCUAAUCACACAUUGUUUAAUACCAAGUGAAAAAAGAUACAGAUGGAUAACAAUAGAGAGAAAGAACGUGAUCGGUCCAGGCGUGGUGAUAGACCUUCUCGUUUUUCUGAUGCAACUCGAGACCGCUCCGGGGACAGAGAACGCUCCGAUGGGAAACGAUUAUUUGUUUCUAACAUACCUUAUGAAUUUCGCUGGACUGAACUGAAGGAUCUAUUUAAGGAAAAGGUUGGAGAUGUUGCAUAUGUGGAGCUUUUUUGUGAUGAUAAUGGAAAACCCAGAGGCUGCGGAGUAGUUGAAUUUACAAAUGCUGAAGCAAUGAAGAAAGCACUAUUUGUAAUGCAUCGUUAUGAUUUAAAUGGACGCAAACUUGUUUUGAAAGAAGAAACAGGAAAUUCGUUUGCAAAUUGGACAGGUAAUGAAAGGAACAGAAAUAAUAAUUCAAGAUCAACGGGCGGCGGUGGAGGUAGAAACAAUAGAGAUGAGAAGGAUGGUUGGGCAAUGAAUAAGCCACGGGAGCCAGAGAAUUUCAAUACAUAUGGGCUAAGUCUACAGUUUUUGGAGUCAAUCAAUGUUCAACCGCCACUAGUGAAGAAAGUGUUUGUUGCCAAUCUUGAUUACAAAGCUGAUAGAGCAAAGAUAAAAGAGGUUUUUAAAAUGGCGGGAAAAGUACGUAAUAUCGAUUUAGCAAUUGAUAAAGAUGGUAAUAGCAGAGGCUUUGCUGUUAUUGAGUAUGAUCAUCCUGUAGAAGCUGUUCAGGCUAUAUCAAUGUUUGACAAACAAAUGUUGUAUGAACGUAGAAUGACAGUUCGCAUGGAUAGGGGUACGGACAAAACAGAGGUUAAGUUACCAGAAGGAUUAAAAAGUAUAGGUUUAGGGCUGGGACCCAAUGGUGAACCCCUAAGAGAUGUUGCCAGAAAUCUUCCUCAGCCAAAUCCAGCCAACAACAUGAAUCUAGCAAAUGCAGGAACAGCGAUAGGAGCCAGUGUGUUAGGUGCAGUGCCAGCCGCGAGUGUUGCUCUGAAUGGUCUGGGAACUGGUCUCACUGCUGGUACUUUGGGAGGAAAUGCAGGAUUGGGUGGUGGUUUAAGUCUACAGGCUCUAGGUUUAACCGGGCUUGGAGCUUUACAGAACCAGCUACUUCAACAGGGUAUCACAGCAAAUGACCUAGUUAGUUCAGUUUUAACGCAAGCACAGGCAAAUGUGAACACUAAUUCAAUGGGCAUGAACACUAAUGAUUUAGGUCCUAAUGUAUUGGGAAACGGGGGCAUGUCUAAUAGUGUAUUAGGACAAAAUCCAGGGCUUAGCAGUGGUCCACAUUCAGGGUCUAGUCGUCCAAUGGUUAAUGUGUCAGUACCAGGUCAAGGCUAUGGAAGGGACCCUCCCGUCCAACAGUCCAACCGUGAGAAACAAUCAGAUAUGGUUAUCAUAACUAAUCUGCCCCAAACAGUGACAUGGCAACUGAUUCGUGAGAAGUUUAGUGAAUGUGGUGAUGUGAAAUUCGCUGAAAUGACAGCACCUGAUACUGCUAUUGUGCGUUUCCACAAAGAGUGGGAUGCAGAGAGAGCAGUCAAAAUGUUUGACAGGACUCGAAUAGAUGGGAGGACAAUUGACGUCAGAUUUUUUUAAUCCAUUCCUGAAUGAGGAAAGUCGUAUCGAAGUUGGUCUGUCGGUCAGAAAAUAUUCAUCGUCGUCUUAAUCACUACUGCAACAGAAGUUUGGACUUGAUUUUUUUGUUCAUUGACAUUAUUUCUUGACAAGAAUUGUACGUAGGUUAGUCUAGUAUAAGAAUCCACACUCGUUUUAUGCAUUUCCAUGUCUUACAUUAUAUCGCAACUUUAUUAAACUGUUGGAAACUUGGUCCUAAAUAAAUAAUUGUAUUGUGUCAAGGAUAGUUUUCCGUCGAUGUCAGCGUGUGAGGUAUUGUCGGUAUAAUAUUGUAUGCGGGUUGAUCUCCUAGCAUGUUAUUGCGCUAUAUUCUAUUCAAUUUCAAAAUAUUCUUACACGCUCCCAUCAUACUAAUAUUGUUUAAAUAGAUUUCAUGUCAAAUAAAAUUUGCUCGAUUUGUCAAUAAAUGGAUACGUCGUAAAAUUUGUUGAAUUAUUUUAUGCUUCAAAGGUGAUAAGUGUUUUCAGCGAAAUUGGAACAUUAUUUUUAAUAAAAUUGUAUAUGAAUUGUGGCACCGGUAAGAUGAUAAGAUUUUCGAUUUUAGGAAGGGUUUUAGGGAAAUUGGCCUAAUUGCUUAUUAUUGGAUAUUUUUAAUACAUAUUCCUUAUGGUUUCAUUUCAUUUGGAUCUUAAACUUGACUUAUUUUGAUUAAAAUUGCGUGCUGCAUAUACUUUUAGAAAAGUACUGACUCUCGUUUUUAAACGACGGAUGAUUCUUGCAUACAUAAUAGUUAUGACUUCCAAUACAUGUAUGAAUGUUGCUACAUCAAAGAAGGACGUUGCGUUGAAGUUAUUGACGUUGCCGCGUAUACAUUUCGAUAUACGCCAAGAAAUAUUUGUGGACGAUUUCGGGAAAGUUAAGGUGGAAUUAAAUAUCACCAAAUUUGUAUAAAGGUUGAAGUAGUGGUCUACCUUUUCUGCCUCUAUAAUGUUAUCCUACUAAACUACUUUGUACAAUACGCCACGCCUCGUUGUAUAUUGUCGCCUGGAUCUAAUGGGUUAUACAAGAUUUUUGUGCGAAUAUUUUAAAUUUUAUUCCUUUCGUUCAUACAUUAUUAGUUUAUCAUAGAAUAUAGAAAAUCGAAGUGAGUACGCAAUAGAUAUCUGUGAUAAUUGCCGCCUUCUUUAUUGCCUGAUGUAAAAAAUUGUCCACAAAGUGUUUAGCGGGUACGAGUUGAGAAACCAUCGACUUCUAAAUUAGCCAAUAUAAAUCCAGUUUUGCUUCCGGAUUUUGGUGUCUGAAGAAAGAAAAUCAUUAUAGGACUUCCCGCCUUCAGAAUGUGGUCAUCUUGACAUUAUUUAGAUCGAUGCAGGAAAGGAUAUGAAACUGUAUUGGGAUAGCGAAGCAAACAAUUUAAAAACAAUCAUUACGUGCAGGCGCACGACGGGCCAAGCAUGAAAAGAUGUUUGCACAAGCUCAAGUGAUCGUGAAGAAGACUGAUGAAUAUUAUCUAUUUAUAAGCAAUUUAUUUAAUAUUGUUUUUAAAUAAUAAACGAUAUUUUCACA